rnacentral:piRNA from 1 species
UGGUGACUACCGCACAGCAUAACGA